CUCUCCCUCUCCCUCUCCCCGUCUCCCUCUCCCUCUCCCUCUCCCCGUCUCCCUCUCCCUCUCAUGCCGAGCCAAAGCUGGACGGUACUGCUGCCAUCUCGGCUCACUGCAACCUCCCUGCCUGAUUCUCCUGCCUCAGCCUGCCGAGUGCCUGCGAUUGCAGGCGCGCGCCGCCACGCCUGACUGGUUUUCGUUUUUUUUUUGGUGGAGAUGGGGUUUCGCUGUGUUGGCCGGGCUGGUCUCCAGCUCCUAACCGCGAGUGAUCCGCCAGCCUCGGCCUCCCGAGGUGCCGGGAUUGCAGAUGGAGUCUCGUUCACUCAGUGCUCAAUGGUGCCCAGGCUGGAGUGCAGUGGCGUGAUCUCGGCUUGCUACAACCACCUCCCAGCCGCCUGCCUUGGCCUCCCAAAGAGCCGAGAUUGCAGCCUCUGCCCGGCCGCCACGCCGUCUGGGAAGUGAGGAGCGUCUCUGCUUGGCCACCCAUCGUCUGGGAUAUGAGGAGCCCCUCUGCCUGGCUGCCCAGUGUGGAAAGUGAGGAGCGUCUCUGCCCGGCCGCCAUCCCAUCUAGGAAGCGAGAAGCGCCUCUUCCCCGCCGCCAUCCCAUCUAGGAAGUGAGGAGCGUCUCUGCCCGGCCGCCCAUCGUCUGAGAUGUGGGGAGCACCUCUGCCCCACCGCCCUGUCUGGGAUGUGAGGAGCGCCUCUGCUGGGCCGCAACCCUGUCUGGGAGGUGAGGAGUGUCUCUGCCCGGCCGCUCCGUCUGAGAAGUGAGGAAACCCUCUGCCUGGCAACCGCCCCGUCUGAGAAGUGAGGAGCCCCUCCGUCUGGCAACCACCCCGUCUGGGAAGUGAGGAGCGUCUCCGCCCGGCAGCCACCCCGUCCGGGAGGGAGGUGGGGGGGGUCAGCCCCCCGCCCGGCCAGCCGCCCCGUCCGGGAGGUGAGGGGCUCCUCUGCCCGGCCGCCCCUACUGGGAAGUGAGGAGCCCCUCUGCCCGGCCAGCCGCCCCGUCCGGGAGGGAGGCGGGGGGGGGUGGUCGGCCAUCCGCCCCGUCCGGGAGGUGAGGGGCGCCUCUGCCCGGCCGCCCCUACUGGGAAGUGAGGACCCCUCUGCCCGGCCAGCCGCCCCGUCCGGGAGGGAGGUGGGGGGGUCAGCCCCCCGCCCGGCCAGCCGCCCCGUCCGGGAGGUGAGGGGCUCCUCUGCCCGGCCGCCCCUACUGGGAAGUGAGGAGCCCCUCUGCCCGGCCAGUCGCCCCGUCCAGGAGGGAGGUGGGGGGGUCAACCCCCCGCCCGGCCAGCCGCCCAGUCCGGGAGGGAGGUGGGGGGUCAGCCCCCCGCCUGGCCAGCCGCCCCGUCCAGGAGGUGAGGGGCGCCUCUGCCCGGCCGCCCCUACUGGGAAGUGAGGAGCCCCUCUGCCCGGCCAGCCGCCCCGCCCAGGAGGGAGGUGGGGGGGUCAGCCCCCCGCCCGGCCAGCCGCCCCGUCCGGGAGGGGGGAGGGGGGGUCAGCCCCCUGCCCGGCCAGCCGCCCCGUCCGGGAGGGAGGUGGGGGGGGUCAGCCCCCCGCCCGGCCAGCCGCCCCGUCCGGGAGGGAGGUGGGGGGAUCAGCCCCCUGCCUGGCCAGCCGCCCCGUCCGGGAGGUGAGGGGCGCCUCUGCCCGGCCGCCCCUACUGGGAAGUGAGGAGCCCCUCUGCCCGGCCAGCCGCCCCGUCCGGGAGGGAGGUGGGGGGGUCAGCCCCCCUUCCGGCCGGCUGCCCCGUCCGGGAGGUGAGGGGCGCCUCUGCCCGGCCGCCCCUACUGGGAAGUGAGGAGCCCCUCUGCCUGGCCAGCCGCCCCGUCCGGGAGGGCGGUGGGGGGGUCAGCCCCCCGCCCGGCCAGCCGCCCCAUCUGGGAGGUGAGGGGCGCUUCUGCCGGGCCGCCCCUACUGGGAAGUGAGGAGCCCCUCUGCCCGGCCACGACCCCGUCUGGGAGGUGUGCCCAGCGGCUCAUUGGGGAUGGGCCAUGAUGACAAUGGCGGUUUUGUGGAAUAGAAAGGCGGGAAGGGUGGGGAAAAAAUUGAGAAAUCGGAUGGUUGCCGGGUCUGUGUGGAUAGAAGUAGACAUGGGAGACUUUUCAUUUUGUUCUGUACUAAGAAAAAUUCUUCUGCCUUGGGAUCCUGUUGAUCUGUGACCUUAUCCCCAACCCUGUGCUCUCUGAAACAUGUGCUGUGUCCACUCAGGGUUAAAUGGAUUAAGGGCGGUGCAAGAUGUGCUUUGUUAAACAGAUGCUUGAAGGCAGCAUGCUCGUUAAGAGUCAUCACCACUCCCUA
rnacentral:lncRNA from 1 species